AUGCCGCCCUCCAGCCUGCUGUGGGCACUGGUGGCCUUGGCCUGCUCUGGAUCCAGUGUGGCCCAGAAAGUUAUUCAAGACCAGCCAGUUAUAGCCAAGCAAGAGGGAGAAGGAGUCACCCUGAAGUGUCGCUAUGAAACAAGACAGAGCUUAUAUGUUAUUUUGUGGUACAAGCAGCUUCCCGAUGGAAAGAUGGAUUUCAUUGUUUAUCAGCUUUCUUCUUCCAAAAAUGCAACACGGGAUCACUAUUCUAUAAACUUCCAGAAAGCAGGCAAAUCCAUCUCCCUCACCAUUGCAUCCUUAAACCUGGAAGAUUCAGGAAAAUAUCUCUGUGCUCUCAGUGAGGCACUGUGUAUGAAAUGA